UAAUACGUAGGAGGCAAGCGUUAUCCGGAUUUACUGGGCGUAAAGCGGGCGCAGGCGGCUUUUCAAGUCGGUUGUAAAAUCUCCCUGCUCAACGGGGAGAGGUCAUUCGAUACUGUUGAGCUAGAGGGCAGCAGAAGGAGGUGGAAUUCCCGGUGUAGUGGUGAAAUGCGUAGAUAUCGGGAGGAACACCAGUGGCGAAGGCGGCCUCCUAGGUUGUUUCUGACGCUGAGGCCCAAAAGCGCGGGGAGCGAACAGGAUUAGAUACCCUGGUAGUCCGUGCCGUAAACGAUGGACACUAGGUAUAGGGAGUAUCGACCCUCUCUAUGCCGUAGCUAACGCGUUAAGUGUCCCGCCUGGGGACUACGGCCGCAAGGCUA
rnacentral:rRNA from 1 species